AUACGGAGAGGGCUAGCGUUAUUCGGAAUUAUUGGGCGUAAAGGGCGCGUAGGCUGGUUAAUAAGUUAAAAGUGAAAUCCCGAGGCUUAACCUUGGAAUUGCUUUUAAAACUAUUAAUCUAGAGAUUGAAAGAGGAUAGAGGAAUUCCUGAUGUAGAGGUAAAAUUCGUAAAUAUUAGGAGGAACACCAGUGGCGAAGGCGUCUAUCUGGUUCAAAUCUGACGCUGAAGCGCGAAGGCGUGGGGAGCAAACAGGAUUAGAUACCCUGGUAGUCCACGCUGUAAACGAUGAAUGUUAAAUAUGGGGAGUUUACUUUCUGUAUUACAGCUAACGCGUUAAACAUUCCGCCUGGGGACUACGGUCGCAAGAUUAAAACUCAAAGGAAUUGACGGGGACCCGCACAAGCGGUGGAGCAUGUGGUUUAAUUCGAUGCAACGCGAAAAACCUUACCACUUCUUG
rnacentral:rRNA from 2 species